rnacentral:sRNA from 1 species
CUAGGCCUGGGCACAAUUUAAUAAAUUGUACUAAAAUUACAGUUAACCAUACUAUAUUGUACUAAAAAUAACUAAACUUGUUUUAACUGAAAACUAAUUAAACUAGUGUAUAGUUCAGUUAAAAGAAAUUGAACUUUUCACGGUUUCAGUACAGUUAACUGUGAAUCACAAAUUUUUCUUCUAAUUGAUAAUUUUACCCCAAAUUGAAAACUUUCAAAGCUAGGGUUCGAGAGGGCUGAGAGAAAUGCGAAGAGAAUUCCAUUGUUGCUUCGUGAAAAUGCAGAUUCAGUGGAUCAAACUGCCUAUAAAGGAUUGAAGCUACAAAAGGGGUUGAUUGAGGGGCGCGAACCCUCCAACCCCAACCCUGCCCUUUUUCCAGUUCGCGGGUUCAGCUGAAGGACCUCGACGAUCUUGAAGACGACGACGACGAAGAAGAAGCACCACGUGGACCCUCUAAACCGCCUGAUUACGAUGAUGAACAGUGGCAAAUUAGGUCUGGUAUUGGCCAAGAUUGCACCCUCGAUUACGAGUUUUUGUUACCAGUUUUUCAUUGUGAAAGUUUGGAUUGAAAAAGAAAAUUGAGUGAAUCACACUUUAUGUAGGAAGAGGAAGACCAAUAUGACAAACAGGCUAUUGGGAAAGAGGAUUUGUUUUUAUUUGUUUUUCUCUGGUGACUGAUGUAAUGCAUUUUUACUUGAUUGCUAGGUGUUGUUUAGGGCUAGAAUUGACUGAAGAAAAGUUUCCGAGCAUAUGAUUGUGUUGGAUUAUUUUUCCAUUAUAAUUAUUUUUCCAUGUAGAGAGUACGUAUUCUAAUGUAGAGAGUGUGGAUUCCCAACUUCUAAAUUCAAAUCUUUAAUAUCCCUGCAGGAGUGAAGAAAGAUGUCAUGAACUCAUCACUUCCUAAAUACGUGAUGAGUUGAGCAACAAAUAGAAAGAAUAUUAUUAGGCAAUUUUGACCCAGAAUUAUCAGAUAUUAACUUGUGGUGUUCAGGCAAGACUGAUGAUUUGAUGAACUGACUAUUUUGUUUAUUACUAAUCUUAGCUUCAUAAAUAGAGUGGCAAUACAUCUUAAUGGUAUUGUUUUUUUUUAUAUCUAUAUGGUUUUGAAUCAGAUAUCUUUUAUCAAUGUUGUUAUGGAAUUGCAGAAGCUUUAUUUGCAAA